GGCUUGCUGGUCUAGUGGUAUGAUUCUCGCUUCGAGUGCGGGAGUUCACGGGUUCGAUUCCCGUGCAAGCCC
rnacentral:tRNA from 1 species